GNACGAGNNUCUGAACCNGCCAAGUAGCGUGAAGGAUGACUGCCCUAUGGGUUGUAAACUUCUUUUAUACGGGAAUAAAGUGAGGCACGUGUGCCUUUUUGUAUGUACCGUAUGAAUAAGGAUCGGCUAACUCCGUGCCAGCAGCCGCGGUAAUACGGAGGAUCCGAGCGUNAUCCGGAUUUAUUGGGUUUAAAGGGAGCGUAGGCGGACGCUUAAGUCAGUUGUGAAAGUUUGCGGCUCAACCGUAAAAUUGCAGUUGAUACUGGGUGUCUUGAGUACAGUAGAGGCAGGCGGAAUUCGUGGUGUAGCGGUGAAAUGCUUAGAUAUCACGAAGAACUCC
rnacentral:rRNA from 1 species